AUAAGUGCAUCAGGCGGAUGCCUUGGCGAUGAUAGGCGACGAAGGACGUGUAAGCCUGCGAAAAGCGCGGGGGAGCUGGCAAUAAAGCUAUGAUUCCGCGAUGUCCGAAUGGGGAAACCCACUGCAUUCUGUGCAGUAUCCUAAGUUGAAUACAUAGGCUUAGAGAAGCGAACCCGGAGAACUGAACCAUCUAAGUACCCGGAGGAAAAGAAAUCAACCGAGAUUCCGCAAGUAGUGGCGAGCGAACGCGGAGGAGCCUGUACGUAAUAACUGUCGAGAUAGAAGAACAAGCUGGGAAGCUUGACCAUAGCGGGUGACAGUCCCGUAUUCGAAAUCUCAACAGCGGUACUAAGCGUACGAAAAGUAGGGCGGGACACGUGAAAUCCUGUCUGAAUAUGGGGGGACCAUCCUCCAAGGCUAAAUACUCAUCAUCGACCGAUAGUGAACCAGUACCGUGAGGGAAAGGCGAAAAGAACCCCGGGAGGGGAGUGAAACAGAACCUGAAACCUGAUGCAUACAAACAGUGGGAGCGCCCUAGUGGUGUGACUGCGUACCUUUUGUAUAAUGGGUCAACGACUUACAUUCAGUAGCGAGCUUAACCGGAUAGGGGAGGCGUAGGGAAACCGAGUCUUAAUAGGGCGAUGAGUUGCUGGGUGUAGACCCGAAACCGAGUGAUCUAUCCAUGGUCAGGUUGAAGGUGCCGUAACAGGUACUGGAGGACCGAACCCACGCAUGUUGCAAAAUGCGGGGAUGAGCUGUGGGUAGGGGUGAAAGGCUAAACAAACUCGGAGAUAGCUGGUUCUCCCCGAAAACUAUUUAGGUAGUGCCUCGAGCAAGACACUGAUGGGGGUAAAGCACUGUUAUGGCUAGGGGGUUAUUGCAACUUACCAACCCAUGGCAAACUCAGAAUACCAUCAAGUGGUUCCUCGGGAGACAGACAGCGGGUGCUAACGUCCGUUGUCAAGAGGGAAACAACCCAGACCGCCGGCUAAGGUCCCAAAUGAUAGAUUAAGUGGUAAACGAAGUGGGAAGGCACAGACAGCCAGGAUGUUGGCUUAGAAGCAGCCAUCAUUUAAAGAAAGCGUAAUAGCUCACUGGUCGAGUCGUCCUGCGCGGAAGAUGUAACGGGGCUCAAAUCUAUAACCGAAGCUGCGGAUGCCGGUUUACCGGCAUGGUAGGGGAGCGUUCUGUAGGCUGAUGAAGGUGCAUUGUAAAGUGUGCUGGAGGUAUCAGAAGUGCGAAUGUUGACAUGAGUAGCGAUAAAGCGGGUGAAAAGCCCGCUCGCCGAAAGCCCAAGGUUUCCUACGCAACGUUCAUCGGCGUAGGGUAAGUCGGCCCCUAAGGCGAGGCAGAAAUGCGUAGUCGAUGGGAAACAGGUUAAUAUUCCUGUACUUGAUUCAAAUGCGAUGUGGGGACGGAGAAGGUUAGGUUGGCAAGCUGUUGGAAUAGCUUGUUUAAGCCGGUAGGUGGAAGACUUAGGCAAAUCCGGGUUUUCUUAACACCGAGAAGUGAUGACGAGUGUCUACGGACACGAAGCAACCGAUACCACGCUUCCAGGAAAAGCCACUAAGCUUCAGUUUGAAUCGAACCGUACCGCAAACCGACACAGGUGGGCAGGAUGAGAAUUCUAAGGCGCUUGAGAGAACUCGGGAGAAGGAACUCGGCAAAUUGAUACCGUAACUUCGGGAGAAGGUAUGCCCUCUAAGGUUAAGGACUUGCUCCGUAAGCCCCGGAGGGUCGCAGAGAAUAGGUGGCUGCGACUGUUUAUUAAAAACACAGCACUCUGCCAACACGAAAGUGGACGUAUAGGGUGUGACGCCUGCCCGGUGCCGGAAGGUUAAUUGAAGAUGUGCAAGCAUCGGAUCGAAGCCCCGGUAAACGGCGGCCGUAACUAUAACGGUCCUAAGGUAGCGAAAUUCCUUGUCGGGUAAGUUCCGACCCGCACGAAUGGCGUAACGAUGGCCACACUGUCUCCUCCCGAGACUCAGCGAAGUUGAAGUGGUUGUGAAGAUGCAAUCUACCCGCUGCUAGACGGAAAGACCCCGUGAACCUUUACUGUAGCUUUGCAUUGGACUUUGAAGUCACUUGUGUAGGAUAGGUGGGAGGCUUGGAAGCAGAGACGCCAGUCUCUGUGGAGUCGUCCUUGAAAUACCACCCUGGUGUCUUUGAGGUUCUAACCCAGACCCGUCAUCCGGGUCGGGGACCGUGCAUGGUAGGCAGUUUGACUGGGGCGGUCUCCUCCCAAAGCGUAACGGAGGAGUUCGAAGGUUACCUAGGUCCGGUCGGAAAUCGGACUGAUAGUGCAAUGGCAAAAGGUAGCUUAACUGCGAGACCGACAAGUCGGGCAGGUGCGAAAGCAGGACAUAGUGAUCCGGUGGUUCUGUAUGGAAGGGCCAUCGCUCAACGGAUAAAAGGUACUCCGGGGAUAACAGGCUGAUUCCGCCCAAGAGUUCAUAUCGACGGCGGAGUUUGGCACCUCGAUGUCGGCUCAUCACAUCCUGGGGCUGUAGUCGGUCCCAAGGGUAUGGCUGUUCGCCAUUUAAAGUGGUACGUGAGCUGGGUUUAAAACGUCGUGAGACAGUUUGGUCCCUAUCUGCAGUGGGCGUUGGAAGUUUGACGGGGGCUGCUCCUAGUACGAGAGGACCGGAGUGGACGAACCUCUGGUGUACCGGUUGUAACGCCAGUUGCAUAGCCGGGUAGCUAAGUUCGGAAGAGAUAAGCGCUGAAAGCAUCUAAGCGCGAAACUCGCCUGAAGAUGAGACUUCCCUUGCGGUUUAACCGCACUAAAGGGUCGUUCGAGACCAGGACGUUGAUAGGUGGGGUGUGGAAGCGCGGUAACGCGUGAAGCUAACCCAUACUAAUUGCCCGUGAGGCUUGACU
rnacentral:rRNA from 1 species